rnacentral:rRNA from 1 species
CAGUCGCCACGGGAAUACGUAGGGUGCGAGCGUUAAUCGGAAUUACUGGGCGUAAAGCGUGCGCAGGCGGUUAUAUAAGACAGAUGUGAAAUCCCCGGGCUCAACCUGGGACCUGCAUUUGUGACUGUAUAGCUAGAGUACGGUAGAGGGGGAUGGAAUUCCGCGUGUAGCAGUGAAAUGCGUAGAUAUGCGGAGGAACACCGAUGGCGAAGGCAAUCCCCUGGACCUGUACUGACGCUCAUGCACGAAAGCGUGGGGAGCAAACAGGAUUAGAUACCCGAGUAGUCCCUGUCUCUUAUAA